GGGCGAGAAUAAGGGUUAGGGUAAAAGUUAGGGUUAGGUUUAGAAUAAGGGUUAGGGUAAAUGUUAGGGUUAGGUUAAGAAUAAGGGUUAGGGUAAAAGUUAGGUUUAGGUUUAGAAUAAGGGUUAGGGUAAAAGUUAGGGUUAGGUUUAGAAUAAGGGUUAGGGUAAAAGUUAGGUUUAGGUUUAGAAUAAGGGUUAGGGUAAAUGUUAGGGUUCGGUUUAGAAUAAGGGUUAGGGUAAAAGUUAGGUUUAGCUUUAGAAUAAGGGUUAGGGUAAAAGUUAGUGUUAGCUUUAGAAUAAGGGUUAGGGUAAAAGUUAGGGUUAGGGCUAGGGUAAGUAGAUCGUUAGUUGAAAUGUUACCGAUAGUCUGUAGAUAGUUCAUCUAUAGAUGCUCCACAGAUGGACUAUCUACACAAAGUGUUACCCAGUAUAGCAAUAGAAACUUUUAGAGAACCAGGCCUCAUCCUGCCCAGUAUCAGACGGUCUUGAGAACUCGACUUUUCUCUGGAUUGUUUGACAUUCCAGGCGUGUGAGUGUUCCACUUUUUCCACGGCCGAGUACUGACUGUUACUGUGGGGUCAACAGAAGGUCAGCUCUCACUAAUUGUAAUUUAAAACAUGUGUAAAUAUUUGUUGUGUGCGCGUUCCCUGGAUAUUGUGUGUACAGUGUCCUAUGGAAUCCUGGGAAAGUUCAUGGAAUACUCCUCAUGUAAACAAUCAGCACCAGAGUGUGAAAUGACCGUUACCAUUGCAACAGAAAAGACUAUCGUAACCAUAGUGAUAGAACAGAGGGGUUAGACAGUUUGGGAUAUUAAACUUUGCCAGACCCUGUGAGGGUGAGAAGGAAUGGACAGGCAGACUGAUACUGAAUGUGAUUCAAAAAAGCUACUGUAGCAAGGUCUGGUACCCAGUAACACACAC
rnacentral:lncRNA from 1 species